UACGUAGGGGGCAAGCGUUGUCCGGAUUUAUUGGGCGUAAAGAGCGUGUAGGCGGUUUGGUAGGUUCGCUGUGAAAACUCGAGGCUCAACCUCGAGACGCCGGUGGAAACCAUCAGACUAGAGUCCGGAAGAGGAGAGUGGAAUUCCUGGUGUAGCGGUGAAAUGCGCAGAUAUCAGGAAGAACACCCGUGGCUAAGGCGGCUCUCUAGUACGGUACUGACGCUGAGACGCGAAAGCGUGGGGAGCGAACAGG
rnacentral:rRNA from 1 species